AUUUUCAAAUUCAAAGAAAGAUUCAGAAAGCAAGAAUAACACAAGGAUAGGUGCUGGAAUUAAAAAUGGGCAAUCCUGAGCCAAAUCCUAUUGUCCGAAAACAAAGAAAGAUUCAGAAAGCAAGAAUAACACAAGGAUAGGUGCAGAGACUCAAUGGAAGCUGUUCUAACAAAUGAAGUUGGAGUUGGAGUUGUGCGGAUUUGAUGUAUUCAUGAGAACCGGACAAACGGAUAAUAUUGUUGGCGUGCAUGGUUGUCUUUCUUUACAACAAGAGAGAGUUUGUGUUGAAAAAAAGAGAUUGAAAUGGACAGGCGAGAGUAAAGAGGAAGGUGCUCUGAAUUUAAGAAGAUGGAAGAGUGGACGCGUGGAAAGGAGCGCAAGAUGUUUGAUAAAAGGCCGCAAUGGGUUUGCAUGAGAGUCGUUUCUGCGGCUCUUGGUUUGUUGCAGAUUACUAUGUGAGUUAUGGUACAUAUACUAAAACACAGAUCAUUAUGCCGCGUAACUCCACACGAUAAUACGAUUGGUACUGCAGCUAAGUGCACAUAUCUCAUCAGGUUCUGUCAACUUUCCUUUUCUAAGAUCGUCAAACAAACAUGCUCGAGUGUGGCCGCUCAUAAAUGGCUGGAAAUCUGAAAACUCCGUCGGUUAAGCCAUCAAAAUCUGCACUGUUUCUUGAGCUUGGGCCCGUCUGCUUAUGAACCGCAUCAAGACCCAAUAAAAUUUCCCAUGCGUAAUUGCGUAUUGCAUCAUUAUCCUUGUUGGGUUUUGCCACAUGGGGAGGCAGCUGUCUGGAACAACUCAAGUCUAAAUUGUCAUACAAGGCCUUCUUGCAACUGAAAGUCUGAAACUAUGCUGUAUUUGGGCCAGAGGCCAUUCAGUUGUUCAAAAGGUACAAGUAACGUGGAAAGACAUUUCUCCCUGAAAUCAAAGAAAUAUCAAAGAUAUUGCUGAUGAGGGUCCUUUUCAUCAAGUCAAAGCCUGCCCAUAUUCGAAAGGAACAAACUUUGUGAGUAUAUAUACAUAAAUUAGAGUAUAAUUAUGAGUAUUCCUUCCCCACCUUAAUCUUGGAAGGAUGGUGGAACCAACACUAGCUAACUAUAAUAAUAUAUAUAUUUCUGAUCAUGAGAGAGCAACAAUGGAUUCUCAUACAUAUAUUCUGCACAUCGCUAUUUGCAUCCCCAUAAAAGUCUCUCCUUCAUAAAGAUAGAAUAUUUUUAUGAACAAAAAGGGCAGUUCUUUGAUCAUCCAAUGAUCUUUUUAUAUGUUGUUCAAUAAUAAUAAGACUAAUGGGAACCAUAAGGAUUAUCAUCAUUGGGUGAUCUAACCAAACAAGCACUUUAUUUUUUAUAAAGAAUCAUAUCAUAUCUUUGAUUUAGCCGCACAUAUAUACGUUAGCCUAUACUUUUCGAACUGAUGCAUGUGACUUGAUUUAAAGCAGGAUUGGUCGGUGGCAGUAUUAGAUAAAGAUUAAGGAGUUAUGGUCCUUCUGGCUAUCUAAUGCUAAAUUCUCCUUUUCAGAUUCUCAAAAAGCUUAGAAACUAUGCUUGAUUAGAUUUGUGUCAUGAUGGGCUUGCUCCUUGCUGCACCAAAACUAGCAAAUGCUUUGUGUACAAAGAUGGGCCACACUACUAGGUAUUGUUUAAUUUAUAGUACUUGCCUUUUUCUCUUUAAUACUUUUUCCUCUUUUUAUUAAUUGCUUAAUUAAAAAAACAGUCUCAUUGUUAUCUAUUUUUUAAAAGUUUGUACACAGCAUAGGGCAAAAGCAAAGGUAGAGUUUAUUGGUUGAAAUAUUGGUCUUUGUUUUAUUUAUUGGUUUAGCAGAUUAAAGCUGAAAAUGCUCUGUACUUUGCUUCUCAAUUUCUUGACUAAUUGCCGCAGUUGAUAGAGUUCAAGUUGCAAAGGAGAGAGAAGACACAAGCACUGUCAAUAUUGUGUGUACCUUUUCUCAACUUUUGAAGCCUAGCUUGUAGUAGUAGUAAGGCAUGAAAUGAAAUUAAGACUGUUCUCACAAAGGAUGGUACACUUCGGAUUAGUGUGUUUAUUCUCUUGUCGUGACUAUUGCUGUGGAAUGUAAACAGUUUGUGGAAAAUGAUACUUUGUAGGAAGUAACUCUUAGCAAAUUUAGCCUUUUUAAAGUUAACUCUAUGUAAACACUAAAGAGCCUCCCCCAUGUUGUGUGGGGUAGAGUCUGCGUA